rnacentral:rRNA from 1 species
AACGAACGCUGGCGGCAUGCCUAACACAUGCAGGUCGAACGAGACCUUCGGGUCUAGUGGCGCACGGGUGCGUAACGCGUGGGAACCUGCCCUUAGGUUCGGAAUAACUCCCCGAAAGGGGUGCUAAUACCGGAUAAUGUCUUCGGACCAAAGAUUUAUCGCCUUUGGAUGGGCCCGCGUUGGAUUAGCUAGUUGUUAGGGUAAAAGCCUACCAAGGCGACGAUCCAUAGCUGGUCUGAGAGGAUGAUCAGCCACACUGGGACUGAGACACGGCCCAGACUCCUACGGGAGGCAGCAGUGGGGAAUAUUGGACAAUGGGCGAAAGCCUGAUCCAGCAAUGCCGCGUGAGUGAUGAAGGCCUUAGGGUUGUAAAGCUCUUUUACCCGGGAUGAUAAUGACAGUACCGGGAGAAUAAGCUCCGGCUAACUCCGUG